CCUACGGGUGGCAGCAGUGGGGAAUAUUGGACAAUGGGGGCAACCCUGAUCCAGCCAUGCCGCGUGUGUGAAGAAGGCCCUCGGGUUGUAAAGCACUUUCAGUGAGGAAGAACGCCUGGUGGUUAAUACCCAUCAGGAAAGACAUCACUCACAGAAGAAGCACCGGCUAACUCCGUGCCAGCAGCCGCGGUAAUACGGAGGGUGCGAGCGUUAAUCGGAAUUACUGGGCGUAAAGCGCGCGUAGGUGGCUUGAUAAGCCGGUUGUGAAAGCCCCGGGCUCAACCUGGGAACGGCAUCCGGAACUGUCAAGCUAGAGUGCAGGAGAGGAAGGUAGAAUUCCCGGUGUAGCGAUGAAAUGCGUAGAGAUCGGGAGGAAUACCAGUGGCGAAGGCGGCCUUCUGGACUGACACUGACACUGAGGUGCGAAAGCGUGGGUAGCAAACAGGAUUAGAUACCCCGGUAGUC
rnacentral:rRNA from 1 species